GAUGAACGCUAGCGGGAGGCUUAACACAUGCAAGUCGAGGGGCAGCACGGGGUAGCAAUACUCUGGUGGCGACCGGCAAACGGGUGAGUAACGCGUAUGUAACCUACCCUGUACAGGGGGAUAACCCGGAGAAAUUCGGACUAAUAUCCCAUAACAAUAUCUGGAGGCAUCUUUGGAUAUUUAAAGUUCUGGCGGUACGGGAUGGGCGUGCGUAACAUUAGCUAGUUGGUAAGGUAACGGCCUACCAAGGCUUUGAUGUUUAGGGGUCCUGAGAGGGUGGUCCCCCACACUGGUACUGAGACACGGACCAGACUCCUACGGGAGGCAGCAGUGAGGAAUAUUGGUCAAUGGGCGCAAGCCUGAACCAGCCAUCCCGCGUGCAGGAAGACGGCCCUAUGGGUUGUAAACUGCUUUUCCAGGGAGAGAAACUUGCGCACGUGUUGCGCAAUUGACGGUACCCUGGGAAUAAGCAUCGGCUAACUCCGUG
rnacentral:rRNA from 1 species